GCCGAGGUGGCGGAACUGGCAGACGCGCAUGGCUUAGGACCAUGUGUCCUUUAACAAGACGUGGGAGUUCAAAUCUCCCCCUCGGCACCA
rnacentral:tRNA from 1 species